rnacentral:tRNA from 1 species
GCCCCUGUAGCUCAAUUGGAUAGAGCGCCUGGCUUCGGACCAGGAGGCUGCGGGUUCGAGUCCUGCCGGGGGCGCCA